rnacentral:rRNA from 1 species
CCUACGGGAGGCAGCAGUGGGGAAUUUUGGACAAUGGGGGCAACCCUGAUCCAGCAAUGCCGCGUGAGUGAAGAAGGCCUUCGGGUUGUAAAGCUCUUUUGUCAGGGAAGAAACGGUUUGACCUAAUACGUUGAACUAAUGACGGUACCUGAAGAAUAAGCACCGGCUAACUACGUGCCAGCAGCCGCGGUAAUACGUAGGGUGCAAGCGUUAAUCGGAAUUACUGGGCGUAAAGCGUGCGCAGGCGGUUAUGUAAGACAGAUGUGAAAUGCCCGGGCUCAACCUGGGAACUGCAUUUGUGACUGCAUGGCUAGAGUUUGGCAGAGGGGGGUAGAAUUCCACGUGUAGCAGUGAAAUGCGUAGAUAUGUGGAGGAAUACCGAUGGCGAAGGCAGCCCCCUGGGUCAAGACUGACGCUCAUGCACGAAAGCGUGGGGAGCAAACAGGAUUAGAUACCCUGGUAGUCCACGCCCUAAACGAUGUCUACUAGUUGUCGGGUCUUAAUUGACUUGGUAACGCAGCUAACGCGUGAAGUAGACCGCCUGGGGAGUACGGUCGCAAGAUUAAAACUCAAAUGAGUAGUAGCGNGAGAGUGCGACGACGACGACGAGGGAGGGAGG